AGUCAGGCCUAUGGGGCGUUGGCGGAUUCUACAGUUCGUGCUUACCUGUCCCACCCCUGUCUGCAAAAUCUGGAGCCCUGUCUGCGUUUCCAGUUCAGACUUCACCAGCCCUAUAGGAAGGGUACAGGCUGGAUUCUCUGCUUCCAGCCAGACAGGCCAACCACCCCCCUACCCCCCCCCCCCCAGGACCGGAAGCCUUCGCCAGGUUGCAGCGCUUACUUCUGAUUAGUGACUAUAUAGCCGUAUUCCUCGGCUGCUGGUCGAGCUGAAGGCUGUUCCACUGCUGCGGGCUGGCUCUGGCCAAAGGGGCUUUUCUUCUCCAGGAGGACAGAUGAGACCCUGGGAGGGCUGGCUGUUUGGGGAGGCUCGGGGAAGCCAGGGCUCAGCACCUGCUGGGCUUCAUUGGCGGUGGGGCCGGCAGUGGGGUGUCCAGGAAGCAAGGGUGUGGGGGGC